AGACGUCGCUACAAGUUUCUGCUUUCCUGCGUUUUUCUCCUUUUUGAAUCCUUGUACAUAAUAGCUAACCUCAGUUUCCAAAUUCAGUCUGGGGUUGAAUCGACAGAGGAAACUAUUCUGGGAAAGUACCUUGUAUCUAGCCUCUACGCAGCCACAUACACCAAACAAAUAAUAAACCCACUUCUCCUUGUUUAUGUGGAAUUCUUUAUCAAUUGAAUUCAACCGCGCCUUAUGUACAUUUUGAUAUUCAAAAUAUUAACUUUAUAUUCACUAAAAUAUGACCUAAUAUUGUAAAUGUAAAAAAUAAAACUCCAUAUUAAUCAUUUUUAGUGCAAGUAAAAAACGUAAAAUUAAUAGUUCUAAUUAAAUUUAUUUUAGGUAAUAAUUUCGAUCACUAUUAAAAUAAUGUCAUUAUAUCGAAAUGCAAGGUAAUAAUGCAAGGAACGUUAUUUGCAUUUGCAUAUACUCUGCGUACAUAUUGAAACCAGUUCUCUCUGGGCG